AGCGAACUUGGCAGAGAUGCCUUGGUGCCUUCGGGAACGCUGAGACAGGUGCUGCAUGGCUGUCGUCAGCUCGUGUUGUGAAAGUGUUGGGUUAAGUCCCGNAACGAGCGCAACCCUUAUCCUUUGUUGCCAGCGAUUCGGUCGGGAACUCAAAGGAGACUGCCGGUGAUAAACCGGAGGAAGGUGGGGAUGACGUCAAGUCAUCAUGGCCCUUACGAGUAGGGCUACACACGUGCUACAAUGGCGCAUACAAAGAGAAGCGACCUCGCGAGAGCAAGCGGACCUCAUAAAGUGCGUCGUAGUCCGGAUCGGAGUCUGCAACUCGACUCCGUGAAGUCGGAAUCGCUAGUAAUCGUGGAUCAGAAUGCCACGGUGAAUACGUUCCCGGGCCUUGUACACACCGCCCGUCACACCAUGGGAGUGGGUUGCAAAAGAAGUAGGUAGCUUAACCUUCGGGAGGGCGCUUACCACUUUGUGAUUCAUGACUGGGGUGAAGUCGUAACAAGGUAAGCGUAGCGAG
rnacentral:rRNA from 1 species